rnacentral:rRNA from 1 species
GAUGAACGCUGGCGGCGUGCUUAAUACAUGCAAGUCGAACGGAGGUAUGUAGCAAUACGUAUCUUAGUGGCGAACGGGUGAGUAACGCGUUGGUGACCUACCCCAGAGAGGGGGAUAACAGCUCGAAAGGGCUGCUAAUACCCCAUGCCGUCAUGGUUUCUAGAAAGCCAUGUCGAAAGGUGCAAACCGCUCUGGGAGGGGCCUGCGUCCCAUCAGCUUGUUGGUAGGGUAAUGGCCUACCAAGGCGACGACGGGUAGGGGGCCUGAGAGGGUGAUCCCCCACACUGGCACUGAAACACGGGCCAGACACCUACGGGUGGCAGCAGUAGGGAAUAUUGCACAAUGGGCGGAAGCCUGAUGCAGCAACGCCGCGUGCGCGAUGAAGGCCUUCGGGUCGUAAAGCGCUUUUCGGGGAGAUGAGGAAGGACAGUAUCCUCGGAAGAAGGAUCGGCUAACUACGUGCCAGCCGCCGCCGUAA